AUUAAACUGCUUGGGAAACUGAUAGUCUAGAGUGAGGGAGAGGCAGAUGGAAUUGGUGGUGUAGGGGUAAAAUCCGUAGAUAUCACCAAGAAUACCCAUUGCGAAGGCGAUCUGCUGGAACUCAACUGACGCUAAGGCGCGAAAGCGUGGGGAGCAAACAGGAUUAGAUACCCUGGUAGUCCACGCCCUAAACGAUGUACACUAGUUGUUGGGGUGCUAGUCAUCUCAGUAAUGCAGCUAACGCAUUAAGUGUACCGCCUGGGGAGUACGGUCGCAAGAUUAAAACUCAAAGGAAUAGACGGGGACCCGCACAAGCGGUGGAGCAUGUGGUUUAAUUCGAAGAUACGCGAAGAACCUUACCUGGGCUUGAUAUCCUAAGAACCUUUUAGAGAUAAGAGGGUGCUAGCUUGCUAGAACUUAGAGACAGGUGCUGCACGGCUGUCGUCAGCUCGUGUCGUGAGAUGUUGGGUUAAGUCCCGCAACGAGCGCAACCCACGUAUUUAGUUGCUAACGGUUCGGCCGAGCACUCUAAAUAGACUGCCUUCGUAAGGAGGAGGAAGGUGUGGACGACGUCAAGUCAUCAUGGCCCUUAUGCCCAGGGCGACACACGUGCUACAAUGGCAUAUACAAUGAGACGCAAUACCGCGAGGUGGAGCAAAUCUAUAAAAUAUGUCCCAGUUCGGAUUGUUCUCUGCAACUCGAGAGCAUGAAGCCGGAAUCGCUAGUAAUCGUAGAUCAGCCAUGCUACGGUGAAUACGUUCCCGGGUCUUGUACUCACCGCCCGUCACACCAUGGGAGUUGAUUUCACUCGAAGCCGGAAUACUAAUG
rnacentral:rRNA from 1 species